rnacentral:rRNA from 1 species
AGAGUUUGAUCCUGGCUCAGGAUGAACGCUAGCUACAGGCUUAACACAUGCAAGUCGAGGGGCAGCAUGGUCUUAGCUUGCUAAGGCCGAUGGCGACCGGCGCACGGGUGAGUAACACGUAUCCAACCUGCCGUCUACUCUUGGACAGCCUUCUGAAAGGAAGAUUAAUACAAGAUGGCAUCAUGAGUCCGCAUGUUCACAUGAUUAAAGGUAUUCCGGUAGACGAUGGGGAUGCGUUCCAUUAGAUAGUAGGCGGGGUAACGGCCCACCUAGUCUUCGAUGGAUAGGGGUUCUGAGAGGAAGGUCCCCCACAUUGGAACUGAGACACGGUCCAAACUCCUACGGGAGGCAGCAGUGAGGAAUAUUGGUCAAUGGGCGAGAGCCUGAACCAGCCAAGUAGCGUGAAGGAUGACUGCCCUAUGGGUUGUAAACUUCUUUUAUAAAGGAAUAAAGUCGGGUAUGCAUACCCGUUUGCAUGUACUUUAUGAAUAAGGAUCGGCUAACUCCGUGCCAGCAGCCGCGGUAAUACGGAGGAUCCGAGCGUUAUCCGGAUUUAUUGGGUUUAAAGGGAGCGUAGAUGGAUGUUUAAGUCAGUUGUGAAAGUUUGCGGCUCAACCGUAAAAUUGCAGUUGAUACUGGAUAUCUUGAGUGCAGUUGAGGCAGGCGGAAUUCGUGGUGUAGCGGUGAAAUGCUUAGAUAUCACGAAGAACUCCGAUUGCGAAGGCAGCUCACUGGAGCGCAACUGACGCUGAAGCUCGAAAGUGCGGGUAUCGAACAGGAUUAGAUACCCUGGUAGUCCGCACGGUAAACGAUGGAUGCCCGCUGUUGGUCUGAAUAGGUCAGCGGCCAAGCGAAAGCAUUAAGCAUCCCACCUGGGGAGUACGCCGGCAACGGUGAAACUCAAAGGAAUUGACGGGGGCCCGCACAAGCGGAGGAACAUGUGGUUUAAUUCGAUGAUACGCGAGGAACCUUACCCGGGCUUAAAUUGCAGAUGAAUUACGGUGAAAGCCGUAAGCCGCAAGGCAUCUGUGAAGGUGCUGCAUGGUUGUCGUCAGCUCGUGCCGUGAGGUGUCGGCUUAAGUGCCAUAACGAGCGCAACCCCUCUCCUUAGUUGCCAUCAGGUUAAGCUGGGCACUCUGGGGACACUGCCACCGUAAGGUGUGAGGAAGGUGGGGAUGACGUCAAAUCAGCACGGCCCUUACGUCCGGGGCUACACACGUGUUACAAUGGGGGGUACAGAGGGCCGCUACCACGCGAGUGGAUGCCAAUCCCCAAAACCUCUCUCAGUUCGGACUGGAGUCUGCAACCCGACUCCACGAAGCUGGAUUCGCUAGUAAUCGCGCAUCAGCCACGGCGCGGUGAAUACGUUCCCGGGCCUUGUACACACCGCCCGUCAAGCCAUGGGAGCCGGGGGUACCUGAAGUGCGUAACCGCGAGGAGCGCCCUAGGGUAAAACUGGUGACUGGGGCUAAGUCGUAACAAGGUAGCCGUACCGGAAGGUGCGGCUG